AUUGAACGCUGGCGGCAGGCCUAACACAUGCAAGUCGAGCGGAUGAAGGGAGCUUGCUCCUGGAUUCAGCGGCGGACGGGUGAGUAAUGCCUAGGAAUCUGCCUGGUAUUGGGGGAUAACGUCCGGAAACGGGCGCUAAUACCGCAUACGUCCUGAUGGAGAAAGUGGGGGAUCUUCGGACCUCACGCUAUCAGAUGAGCCUAGGUCGGAUUAGCUAGUUGGUGGGGUAAAGGCCUACCAAGGCGACGAUCCGUAACUGGUCUGAGAGGAUGAUCAGUCACACUGGAACUGAGACACGGUCCAGACUCCUACGGGAGGCAGCAGUGGGGAAUAUUGGACAAUGGGCGAAAGCCUGAUCCAGCCAUGCCGCGUGUGUGAAGAAGGUCUUCGGAUUGUAAAGCACUUUAAGUUGGGAGGAAGGGAAGUAAGUUAAUACCUGGCUGUUUUGACGUUACCAAAAGAGUAAGCACCGGCUAACUUCGUG
rnacentral:rRNA from 1 species